CCCUUCCCCCCCCAAAAAAUAUCCGCACAUCUCCCGCUCUAACCUUUCCCCACUCUAAGCAACUAUCCCUAAAACCCUCGUUCUUCUUGUUUUAGAAAACAGAAAUUGUCAAGAAAGUAAAUGAGUUGGUGAGGCACAAUAUUCACCCAAACUUGAUGAUCAGUUGAGUGGAUACAGGGCACUUGUGUUAUGGGCAUCAAUGUAGAAACAAACAAGUGUAAUAAUCAUGAGGUAUGUAUGAUACUUCACUCUUUCUGAAAACAAAAUCAAUUGGAUAUACUGCCUAGUGAAGGAUGAAAUGUUUACAAAAUUCUUGUUAAAAUCUUUAGGACUUUUGAAAUUUUAUUUAGAAUAAUAAUAUUUUACUCUAGUAAUGUUUGUUAUAUGAAACGGGUGUGAUGUUGAUCUGGUUUAGCUUAUGCUCUUUUCUUGAGCAGAUAAAUAUGAGAAUAUAAUUUUUUUGGCAGUUACGAA